CAUGAUGAACGCUAGCUACAGGCUUAACACAUGCAAGUCGAGGGGCAGCAUGGUCUUAGCUUGCUAAGGCCGAUGGCGACCGGCGCACGGGUGAGUAACGCGUAUCCAACCUGCCUUACACUCUUGGACAGCCUCCUGAAAGGGAGAUUAAUACAAGAUGUUAUCAUGAGUAAGCAUUUUCGCAUGAUUAAAGGUUUACCGGUGUAAGAUGGGGAUGCGUUCCAUUAGAUAGUAGGCGGGGUAACAGCCCACCUAGUCUUCGAUGGAUAGGGGUUCUGAGAGGAAGGUCCCCCACAUUGGAACUGAGACACGGUCCAAACUCCUACGGGAGGCAGCAGUGAGGAAUAUUGGUCAAUGGACGAGAGUCUGAACCAGCCAAGUAGCGUGAAGGAUGAAGGUUCUAUGGAUUGUAAACUUCUUUUAUACGGGAAUAAACGAAUCCACGCGUGGAUUUUUGCAUGUACCGUAUGAAUAAGGAUCGGCUAACUCCGUGCCAGCAGCCGCGGUAAUACGGAGGAUCCGAGCGUUAUCCGGAUUUAUUGGGUUUAAAGGGAGCGUAGAUGGGUUGUUAAGUCAGUUGUGAAAGUUUGCGGCUCAACCGUAAAAUUGCAAUUGAUACUGGCAGUCUUGAGUACAGUUGAGGUAGGCGGAAUUCGUGGUGUAGCGGUGAGAUGCUUAGAUAUCACGAAGAACUCCGAUUGCGAAGGCAGCUUACUAACCUGUAACUGACAUUGAUGCUCGAAAGUGUGGGUAUCAAACAGGAUUAGAUACCCUGGUAGUCCACACGGUAAACGAUGAAUACUCGCUGUAGGCGAUAUACAGUCUGCGGCCAAGCGAAAGCAUUAAGUAUUCCACCUGGGGAGUACGCCGGCAACGGUGAAACUCAAAGGAAUUGACGGGGGCCCGCACAAGCGGAGGAACAUGUGGUUUAAUUCGAUGAUACGCGAGGAACCUUACCCGGGCUUAAAUUGCAACCGAAUAUGGCGGAAACGCUAUAGCUAGCAAUAGCGGUUGUGAAGGUGCUGCAUGGUUGUCGUCAGCUCGUGCCGUGAGGUGUCGGCUUAAGUGCCAUAACGAGCGCAACCCUUGCCGAUAGUUACUAACAGGUUAUGCUGAGGACUCUGUCGGGACUGCCAUCGUAAGAUGUGAGGAAGGUGGGGAUGACGUCAAAUCAGCACGGCCCUUACGUCCGGGGCUACACACGUGUUACAAUGGGGGGUACAGAGGGCUGCUACCACGCAAGUGGAUGCCAAUCCCAAAAACCUCUCUCAGUUCGGAUUGAAGUCUGCAACCCGACUUCAUGAAGCUGGAUUCGCUAGUAAUCGCGCAUCAGCCACGGCGCGGUGGAUACGUUCCCGGGCCUUGUACACACCGCCCGUCAAGCCAUGGGAGCCGGGGGUAAAGGAAGUGCGUAACCGCAAGGAGCGCCCUAGGGU
rnacentral:rRNA from 1 species